CAGCAGCCGCGGUAAUACGUAGGGCGCAAGCGUUGUCCGGAAUUAUUGGGCGUAAAGAGCUCGUAGGCGGUCUGUCGCGUCUGGUGUGAAAUCCCGAGGCUCAACCUCGGGCUUGCAUCGGGUACGGGCAGACUAGAGUGCGGUAGGGGAGACUGGAAUUCCUGGUGUAGCGGUGGAAUGCGCAGAUAUCAGGAGGAACACCGAUGGCGAAGGCAGGUCUCUGGGCCGCAACUGACGCUGAGGAGCGAAAGCAUGGGGAGCGAACAGGAUUAGAUACCCGGGUAGUCCCUGUCUCUUAUAC
rnacentral:rRNA from 1 species